GUAAAUAUCCUUUUAUGAGUGACAAAUGUCCUCACGAUCUCACUACCGACCGCUUUCUUCCACACCGGCCCCACGAUCUCACUACCGGCGAUUUCUCUCUACAUCGGUCUCUCUGGCUCGUUAUCUCCCGACCCUCUCCGCGCUAGCUCGCUAGCUCGCUCGCUCACUCCCACAAAUCUCACGGUCACUUGCAUGACUUAAAUUUUUAGUUUUUUGUUGAUGUAAAUUUCCGGCCCCUAUUUUAAUGUUGUUCUUUUAUAACCCAGAGUGAAACUUGGUGAGCUGACACGUAGCUGUCCAUGUGUCAAGUUCAAGAAUCCAGGAAUUUUUCUCUGUGAGGUUAAUUUUAAAUUAUUUAACCAAAUUUAUUUUUUUUCAAUCCAAUUGUUCUCGACAAGGUGUCAUAUUUUAGUUCUGAUACAUAAUAUCAUCAUUACUAACACUAGAAAAUAAAUUUUUUUUAACAUAUGUUAUUAAAAUAUCAUAAAUAGAAAAACGAUGUCUUUUGAAAUGAUAUAUUCAAUCCAUGAUUCAUAUUUGUCAAACCACAAUACACAAAAUCUUCUAGACUGAUUUUUAAUCUUCUUCAAUAGAAAUUCAUGUUGACGUGGUUGACAAAGUUUCUUUUGCAAAUAAUAUCUUCUUAUUUGAUUUCGGUCAUUUGGAUGGUAGACAUUUAUCUUUUUUCGCAAUAUCGGAUCGAAAGGUAAUUUACUUACAUCGAGUGUCUCUUUAGAUGGUUGUGGAUUGGAUGAUGGAGUUGAAAUUGGUUAAUUUAUUCUAGGUCUUUUGAUUAUAAAUUUAUCCAUUGAUUAUCUAUGUAAAAAAAAGAUAUAAAUUAAUAACAAAUUUAACAAUAAUUAACGUGGAUAAAAAAUACAUUUAUUCUUUUUCUUUGUAUAGAGUUAUGGUCCCGAACUCACGUGAAGUGGAGAAAAAGAAACCGGGCAUGCAGUUGCGGUUUUGCUUUCUCCAACUAUCGAGAUGUAAUUGGGUGGUCCAUGUAUAAAAUGCGACCCAAUUACGUCGUAACAGUUUUCACUUAUAUUAUUUUCACAAUUAAUUGAAUAAAUUUUUAUCUACACUAAUAUUUCGGCGGUCUCUGUAGAUGUACUUCCUGAAGAAGAAGAAGAAAUUGUUGUUCCUGAAGAAGAAGUGGUUGUUCCUGAAAUAGAAGAAAAGGUUGUUCCUGAAGAAGAUGAAGUUGUUCUUGCAGAAGAAUAAGUUGUUGUUCAUGAACCAAAUGAUGUUGUUGUUCCAAAAAGAGAUAUUGUUUUUGAAAGAGAUGUAGUUGUUCCUGAAGUACAAAUUGUUGUUUCUAAAGUACAAGAGGUUGUUGUUCCUGAAGUACAAAAAGUUGUUCUUGAAUUACAAGAGGUUGUUGUUCUUGAAGUAAAAGAAGUUGUUCACUUGUUCCUGAGGUUGCAAAUGUUGUUUCUGAAAAGAAAGUUGCAAAUAAAGAUGUAAAUUAGUUUGAAGAAAAUGAAUUAAUUUUGCAUCUGCUGUGGAGAAUGAGAGGUUGGAUUCAUUUGAUCCAUUUACUAUUCAAUGCAACCAACUAGGUAUGAUUCCUGAAGAUUUUGUUCAUAUUAAAUGUUUUGUUCAUAUAAUUUUUUU
rnacentral:lncRNA from 1 species